GUGACUGAGUGGCGGACGGGUGAGUAACGCGUGGGUAACCUGCCUCAUACAGGGGGAUAACAGUUAGAAAUGACUGCUAAUACCGCAUAAGACCACAGCACCGCAUGGUGCAGGGGUAAAAACUCCGGUGGUAUGAGAUGGACCCGCGUCUGAUUAGGUAGUUGGUGGGGUAACGGCCUACCAAGCCGACGAUCAGUAGCCGACCUGAGAGGGUGACCGGCCACAUUGGGACUGAGACACGGCCCAAACUCCUACGGGAGGCAGCAGUGGGGAAUAUUGCACAAUGGGGGAAACCCUGAUGCAGCGACGCCGCGUGAGCGAUGAAGUAUUUCGGUAUGUAAAGCUCUAUCAGCAGGGAAGAAAAUGACGGUACCUGACUAAGAAGCACCGGCUAAAUACGUGCCAGCAGCCGCGGUAAUACGUAUGGUGCAAGCGUUAUCCGGAUUUACUGGGUGUAAAGGGAGCGUAGACGGAGUGGCAAGUCUGAUGUGAAACCCGGGGCUCAACCCCGGGACUGCAUUGGAAACUGUCAAUCUGGAGUACCGGAGAGGUAAGCGGAAUUCCUAGUGUAGCGGUGAAAUGCGUAGAUAUUAGGAGGAGCACCAGUGGCGAAGGCGGCUUACUG
rnacentral:rRNA from 1 species